rnacentral:rRNA from 1 species
UGGGCUGAACCUCUUUUAUCAAGGAAGAAGAUCUGACGGUACUUUGAUGAAUAAGCCACGGCUAAUUCCGUGCCAGCAGCCGCGGUAAUACGGGAGUGGCAAGCGUUAUCCGGAAUUAUUGGGCGUAAAGCGUCCGCAGGCGGCCUUGAAAGUCUGUUGUUAAAGCGUGGAGCUUAACUCCAUUUCAGCAAUGGAAACUACAAGGCUAGAGUGUGGUAGGGGCAGAGGGAAUUCCCGGUGUAGCGGUGAAAUGCGUAGAUAUCGGGAAGAACACCAGUGGCGAAGGCGCUCUGCUGGGCCAUAACUGACGCUCAUGGACGAAAGCCAGGGGAGCGAAAGGGAUUAGAUACCC